UACGGGGGGAGCAAGCGUUGUUCGGAUUUACUGGGCGUAAAGGGCGCGUAGGCGGCCAGCACAAGUCAGAUGUGAAAGUCCUGGGCUUAACCUGGGGACUGCAUUUGAUACUGGGUUGCUUGAAUUCGGGAGAGGAUAGCGGAAUUCCCAGUGUAGAGGAGAAAUUCGUAGAUAUUGGGAAGAACACCGGUGGCGAAGGCGGCUAUCUGGACCGACAUUGACGCUGAGGCGCGAAAGCGUGGGGAGCAAACAGG
rnacentral:rRNA from 1 species